rnacentral:rRNA from 1 species
GAUGAACGCUGGCGGCGUGCCUAAUACAUGCAAGUCGAGCGAACAGACGAGGAGCUUGCUCCUCUGACGUUAGCGGCGGACGGGUGAGUAACACGUGGAUAACCUACCUAUAAGACUGGGAUAACUUCGGGAAACCGGAGCUAAUACCGGAUAAUAUAUUGAACCGCAUGGUUCAAUAGUGAAAGACGGUUUUGCUGUCACUUAUAGAUGGAUCCGCGCCGCAUUAGCUAGUUGGUAAGGUAACGGCUUACCAAGGCAACGAUGCGUAGCCGACCUGAGAGGGUGAUCGGCCACACUGGAACUGAGACACGGUCCAGACCCCUACGGGAGGCAGCAGUAGGGAAUCUUCCGCAAUGGGCGAAAGCCGGACGGGGAAACGCCGCGUGAGGAAUGAAGGUCUUCGGAUUGUAAAACUCUUUUAUUAGGGAAAAAAAAAUGUGUAAGUAACUAUGCACGUUUUGACGGUACCAAAUCAGAAAGCCACGGCUAACUACGU